GUCAUUUUUUGAAAUCUAAACCUUGUCCUCUACAAAAACUCUGAAGAGGAAAUCGCGAAACCGUCUAGAGUAUAGCCUUGGAUCGACGGCGGAGAUGGAGGUGGGAUCGUACUGGAACGAUUUAUUCAGCUCGUGCUGGCAUGCUUAUUCCUAAGUGAAUCCACCUAAUACAAGACAAGUAAUGCAAAUAUUUUCAGACAAGUUACCGAUUAGGAUCUGUUGCAAGGGGAUCGACGUCCACUCCAAAAAGGCGAAGGGCUCCAUCAUCGAAAUUAUUACCACUCCCUACAACACAGCUUGAUGUAUUUAGG